AAAUUAUAAUUUAUUAUAUAUUUUUAAAUGUUGAAAGGCAUUUAUGGGAAAAUAUGAAGAAUCUUCUAAACUAUAUCAAGAAGCAUUAGAAGUAAUGGUCAUGUCAGUUAAAACAUUUCCUAAAGGAGAAAAGAAAACAAUCCUCCUUCAUGAAGUGAGUAAUUUAUACUGUUUAUUUAAAUUAACAACAUACAAUCACCUUAAAAUAUUUUUAGGUAAAUAGAUGGAUGGGAAAGGCAGAAGAUGUGAAAUCCUUUCUGAAAGCACAGAAACUUCAAUCAGAUGAAAUUUUAGCUGCUAUGAGGUCUAAUAUAAAUCCAGCCAAUAGUAUGAGUAAGAAGAAUAUUAUUAGAAAUUUGUAUUUCCUUAAUACUCAUAAUUUGUUUUUAAAUUAUUCCAGGUCAAAAUUGUUGUAUUCAAUGAAAUUUCCUUUUGGAGCCAUAUCACUUAUUUAUUUCUAAACAAUGAAGAUUUGUUUUUUUAAAAUGCUAUAAAUUUUGUAAAUAUUGUAAAUAAAUCAUUUUUACAUAAAUUAUUGAAAGUGCUAUCUAGUUAGUAUACAAUUGUAUAAUUUUUAUGAUUUAUUCUUCAAAAUAAUUUUUCUGCUAGUUG
rnacentral:lncRNA from 1 species